GUGCAUAUUAUUAGAACCGGUUAUCGGUCAAUGCAGAUAAUCGGUGUCAUUAUAUGCCAAAUGAAACGCCUCAUUUUACUUGUCUUUAUUUUGUAUAGAAAUAAUUACAACAAUCUAAAGAUUUCUAAUGUUGCGACAA
rnacentral:snoRNA from 1 species